CAUCCGCUGUGGCUGAGCUCGCGGCCGUACGCUUCCGAGCUCCACCCGUCUCACCCCCGACGACCAACCUCGUCGCCGGCGAUGGCUUCCGCGGUGGCCGCUUCGACUGCCACGCGGUUCCUCCCGCAGCUAUCGGCCCCGUUGCUGCGUCGCGCGCGCGUGGCGCUCCUGCCAUCGCCGCUCCCGUGGCGGCCUCUCGCGGUUAGGGUGGCCGCCGCGUCGCGCCGCCCUGGGGACGGGGAGGGCGGGCGGCGGGGGAGGACGCGGAGGCGGCGCGCCAGGGGUGCCGAGCAGGAGGAAGGCGUCUCGCUCAGCUCCGAAAAGGAGCCGGUAAAUUCUACUCCACCACGUGCUCAAACUAACAAGGGCACGGAGCCUGUACUGGAGUCCAGCAUCACUGGGAAAGGUUCGGCCAUUAGAAGGGUUACACUGGUGAUUCUCGCUGCAGUGCUCUUUGGAAUUAGCAUCGCCUUGAGGGAUGGAUCUGAAAAGGCAUCGGAGUAUUUUGCUGGGUAUUUAUUGGAACAGAGUUUGUCGGUGGACAAUCUCUUUGUUUUUGUUCUGGUUUUCAAGUAUUUCAAAGUGCCAAAGGAAUACCAGAACCGAGUGCUUUCUUAUGGUAUUGCUGGAGCAGUGGUCUUUCGGGCUGCGAUGAUCGUCCUUGGAAUAGCUACCAUUGAGAAAUUUGAGGCGGUGAAUCUGCUGUUGGCCUUGAUCCUACUAUUCACUUCUUACAAGCUUUUUGCUGAAGAAGAAGAAGAAUCUGAUCUAUCCGAUAACUUCAUUGUGAAAACAUGCCAAAAGUUCAUUCCAGUCACUGAUUAUUAUGAUGGUGAUCGGUUUUUCACUAUUCAAGAUGGCUUAGGGAAAGCCACACCAUUACUCUUGACUUUGGCAGUGAUUGAGCUGAGUGAUAUUGCUUUUGCUAUUGACUCAAUUCCAGCAGUCUUCGGCGUCACAAGGGAUCCACUUAUAAUACUAUCAUCAAAUAUUUUUGCUAUUUCUGGUUUGCGGUCACUCUAUGUGCUCAUUUCUGAAAGCAUGGCUGAAUUAGAGUAUCUACAGCCUUCUAUUGGUAUCGUUUUGGGCUUCAUCGGGACAAAGAUGGUCUUUGACUUUUUUGGCUAUCAUAUUCCAACAGAAGCUUCGCUUGCUAUCGUUACCACCUGUCUUAGCGGAGGUGUCAUAUUAAGUCUUAGGAAAGCAUCAAAGGAGGAGGGGGACAAGUAGACAGAUGCAACGACACACGCAGUGAGCAAGAAUCGUGUCAAGUAUCAACCAUGUUUGAAACUGACGAGGACUUAGUGUACUUCAUUCAUUGUUCAUGUUUGGAAGUAGAAGGCCUUGGAAGAAUGAAGACACUUGCAAUUUGCGUAACACCAGUGUUGCACUAGUGGUAGCCUCCACUACUUAGCUGACUUGGAAGCAGUUCAGCUUGACGGCUGAGAAUGGCAGACGCGAUCAAGGCAUGACAUUGGUGCCUGAUCCUAAUCUGGAAGUUCCAUGAGUUUAGUUCUGAACCAAACGGUUUUGGGUCAGGGGUCAAUCAAAGACUGCAGGGCAAAAACAUAGGAAUCCGGUCCUUGUAAUGCCUGUUGCUUAAGGUAGCACAUAGAGUAUAUUCUGAACAUGAUGGACAUCAAAACCACAAUUUACAGUGUAACUUAAACAAUAGUAUGCUCAAGCUUAAUAUAUUACAGCAUAUGAAAUUAUUCAUUAUAUUUCA